UGUUGUCUCACAAUGCGUGCUGAGGUGUUCUGCAGACAGAAUGCUCCCUCUAGCCAUCCCACAAUUCUCUUGGGAUAAGAAGAAGAAUGUGGAGUGGAGUUUUGUGCCUGCCUCUCCUGGACCUUUGCCGCAUCUUUCUGAUACUCAAGAAGGGAACCUAAUGUUUCAGAAACCAAACUAAACCAACCUCCCUCUGCCCUCAAAAAAAUGUAACCUUUGCCCAUUUGUAGAACUGAAUCUCUUUGAGGGUUCUGAAAUGUUCAGUUACCUUUGAACUGUCCUUGAGCAGCUCAAAAUAUACCACAAUUCCAUGAGGAAAGCUGAUCUCAUGAGUGUUGCAGACUGAUGGGGUUUGGAUAAGAAUUAACACUCAGAGGGGUGUAUAUCUAGGAUGAGACUAAACUGUCAACCCCCUGAGAUUCACCAGUAACUACUGGUCCUUGUACAUUUGUACAGAGGUUCUCUUAGACUGAACAACUUGCCCUGCAGAGCCAUCAUAAGGAAUUACGGAUUAUGAAUGGCUGGAAAACAAGAACUCUAUUCUGCCAAAAAUGUCAAGGUUUCAACAUCUGUUUUCAAUCAGCAUUGGAACAAAAACUAGAGCUUUUGAAUUUUUUUCAUGAAAAAUCCACCCCAGAAUAGCCAGCCUCCUGGUGGUGGGGUUAUUCACCCAGGAGAUGGGAGACACAGCUUCAAGUCCCUGAUACCCACAACUCAACUCUGAGCCCCAUUCCUGAGUCUCUCGUUCUUUCUUUUAUCCUCUCCAUCCAACUCUAAAAAACACAUGGAGCAGAUGGAUUUCAGCCUGGAAGGGAAGAAGGUGGGACUACAGGUUGAGAGCUACCACCAUUUCUGCCCAUGCUAUGCCUGUCUUGUGGCUGGAGGACUUAAGUCUCCAGGGCUGUCAUCUAGUGCUAAAUGCCUUUUUAAAGAAAACAACCCCCCCCUCCCAAUUUAAAUUCUCCAGUACAGAAGAGCGAAAGCAGGUAGAAUCUUCAGUAUCAAUCAACUUGGAUUUAAAUUUUCCUCCCAUAUUUAGAAGCCAGUGCAGUUGCCUGCAUACAGUGGGUGAUGUGGGAAUGACAAAGACAACAUAUAUCAUGUAGCAGAAUUUUUUAUAGAUUACCAAAGAAAAAUAAAACAGGAGGAGAGGAGAGGAGACCAUUUCACUAAUCUGAGCAGAAGGCACCAUCUCUAAGGCUUGAACCAAAACUCUGCCUGCUGAUAUGCUCGAAAACCAUAUGGACUUUUGAGACAUUAAAUGAUUGUACUCUACACCAUCUGGCAGCAGAGCCAGGAAGAGCAGCAAACAGCAAACUAAAAGGGGUAGAUGUAGAAAACCCAGAUGAAACAGAUGUAUCUCUGCCAGGCUGCUCUUUGGAGAGACAAGCACUUGAGGGUAUUAUAGUAAGGUCUGGGUUAUUCAGGGGAAUUUAUUGUGCAU